UAGAAGAGCUGGGACCCACCGGUAAGCCAGCCAUCUUAAAGAAACCAGGCUCACUUUACUGAGUAGCUCAGCCAUUAAGACUUAGAUUUCCUGUGUGCUAAGUAUUGAGGCGCCUUAGUAACAGAGUGCUUUUCCACAUCCAGCCCUGAACACUUAUGUGAGAAGUCAGACUGUUCUGCAGGAGAGAAUGCUUGGAGUGGCAGAUGCUGAGACUACAUGAAAAAGGAGAGUGACCUAAGACUGGUCUUCUAGUCAUCCCUGACAAGACAAUAGGUGUAAACAAGUUAUAUUGGCACCUACAGCCCAGCCCAGCCAUCGGCUGAAUACCAUGAUUCUAGGUGCAACGUGGAACAGAAGAAUCAUCCAACUGAGCCCUGUCUGAAUUCCUGACCAACCAAGUUAUGAGAUAAAAUAAAACAGCGGUUGUUUUGGGCUGCUACAAUUUGGGAUGGUUUGUUAUACAGCGUUAGAUUAUUGGAACGCUUGAAGAUGUAUUUAUAUCAAGGAGGGGAAAGAGAAGAUGGCCCCUUCUUCCAAGACAUGAAAGGAAGAUGUUGCGGGCACCCCCAGUAAAGGCUGGGGACACUUCAACCUUUGGGGUAAAGAGGAAAGUGUGCCUGGAACUUUUCAGAAAGGUUUUGCUUUUCUGGUUAGAGAGACCUCUGAAGCUGCUCCUUCCCUCCUUCUUUCUCCUUGGAUAUUGAUGUGGUAUCUGGCACAG